UAUGGCCAAAUCAUGUUGAAACACCGGUUCCUGUAUGAUCACCAAAGUUAAGCCAUGUUGAGCUGGUCAGUACUUAGAUGGGUGACCACUUGGGAAUAUCAGGUGCUGUAAG